rnacentral:miRNA from 1 species
UUUUAUUUCAUCGCUACACAGUGUUUCACGUACAGCGUACGAUCAUCAGGCGAUUGAUGAUUGAACAUCAAUCGCCUGAUGAUCGUACGCUGUACGUGAAACACUGUGUAGCGAUGAAAUAAAAU